CACAUGCAGUCGUACGAGAAGUCUUCUUCGGAAGGCGAGUAAAGUGGCGAACGGGUGAGUAACACGUAAGAAUCUACCCUUUGGACUGGGAUAACAUCGCGAAAGUGGUGCUAAUACCGGAUAAUAUCUACGGAUCAAAGAGGGCUUUGCUCUCACCAGAGGAGGAGCUUGCGCCCCAUUAGCUUGUUGGUGAGGUAACGGCUCACCAAGGCGACGAUGGGUAGCCGGCCUGAGAGGGUGUACGGCCACACUGGAACUGAGACACGGUCCAGACUCAUACGGGAGGCAGCAGUGGGGAAUAUUGGUCAAUGGGCGAAAGCCUGAACCAGCAAUGCCGUGUGGGUGAUGAAGCUUUUAGGAGUGUAAAACCCUUUUAUGAGGGAAGAACGUAAAGCGGUUAAUAACCGUUUUGCUUGACGGUACCUCAUGAAUAAGCCCCGGCUAACUCCGUGCCAGCAGCCGCGGUAACACGGAGGGGGCAAGCGUUGUUCGGAAUUACUGGGCGUAAAGGGCGUGUAGGCGGCCUAGCAGGUCAGGUGUGAAAUCCCCGGGCUCAACUCGGGAACUGCGCUUGAAACCGUUAGGCUUGAGGCUAGGAGAGGAAAGCGGAAUUCCUGGUGUAGCGGUGAAAUGCGUAGAUAUCAGGAGGAACACCGGUGGCGAAAGCGGCUUUCUGGACUAGUACUGACGCUGAUGCGCGAAAG
rnacentral:rRNA from 1 species